AAGAGGCUGGGGUCCGGGCGGGACGGGGCUAGUACUCCGGAGCCUGGAGGCUCGUCCUGUUCUCUCCCUCUUUCUGUCUCUCUCUUAUUCUCUCUCUCUCUUUCCGGGCGGAACGGCAGCGCGACUUCUAAGGCAAGGCUGAAGAUGAGAAGGAGAUGAAGAGAUCUGUAUGCUUUGAGGAGGUGAGAAAGAGAAAGCGAAGGAGAGGGAGAAAGAGAGGAGAGAGUGAGUGGGCCUCCCGCCUCUCCGUCUCCCAUGGAGAGAGAAGGAGAAGAACGGAGAAUCUCUCUCCUCCUCUCUCUCCCGCUCUCACUCUCUCAUUGCCUCUCUCUCCUCCAGCCCCACCUCCUUAAAAGUGCAGAAGGCAAGGGGUCUUGGAUUUCCUCUGAGAUCCCUCUUGUUCCUUUCUUUUCGUUCUCCUUGUGGUGUCUGGUGAAAGGCAUCUCAGAGGCCAGGCAAGGCCGAUGUCAGCCUCAGCUAGCAGAUUCCAGGGACCUGUACAGGACCUGAAGGGAGUACAGAAGAGAUUUUUGCCACCUCAAGCAGCUCCAUCACACAUCAUGACACUUUUUGGGGAAAAAAUGCAUUUUUUCUUUUUUUUAAAGACAGCUGCUGUAAGGCGUCAUGAUAGUCAAAGUAUUUUGGACUGUUAUUUUCAGUAAGUUCAGAAUUUCUAAGGCAAGCUCUGCUGGUUCUUGCAAAGAAAUGAGAAUUAUCAUUGAUCUUUUUGCUAUUUCUGAUGCCGACACUUCAAAGACUGCCCUCCUCUUGAGUUCUUCAGAAUGAUUAAAGUGACUGGACCAAAAGUGCGAGGGCCGAAACCAAUUUCCUUUCGUGUCAGGCAAAUGUACUCGAUGGCUAUUGUAGCAUGAUUAAAAAGCUGAAAUGGUUUAUUAAAGGACUCUUAAAUAUG